AACGCAACAACUACUAGGCAGCUUCCACGAAGCUUCUAGAACCAAUUGUUAGAGAAGGGCUCGACGAUCCCGACGACCCUUGUCUUGCAACAACAGGACUGCGUUUUCGUGUUGAUUGUGUUCGAGUAACAUGCAUCCUUGCGCCACAGCCCGUGUUGGAUGAGGAACAGGAGCUGUGCCGGUUUAGGAAUUGAUUGUCUUUUCUUGUUUUUGAGUUGAUUUAUUCCUGUGUAUCUCGAGGAUUUCUUUAAUUCGUUCUUGUUGUACAAGCAUCCAACUCUCAUCCAUAUAUACCGAAAAUCUUGGUCCGCGCCGCCGUCCGCCGUCGCAGGCAGGGCCCAUGGCUUCCGGCGAGGAGUACCCCGAGGAGGAGAACUACGGCGACGUCUCCUCUGUGGGGGCCCUGCAGCGCGCCGGCUACGCCUGGGCGGACGUCGCGGCGCUCGAGCCGGCCGCGGCGGGCCGCGCCGUGCGCGUCCGCGGCGCGGCGCAGGAGGUGCGCGCCAAGGGGCGCGUGGUGUUCCUCGUGCUGCGGCAGGGAUCGGCCACCGUGCAGUGCGUCGUGGCCGGUGCCGACGGGGAUGUCGGGAUUACGCUGUUCGCAGCGGGGCUGAGCCGGGAGUCAGUGGUGGACGUCGCCGGCGUCGUGGCGCUGCCCCGGGUGCCCGUCCGCAGCACCACCCAGCAGCUCGUGGAGAUCCAAGUGCAGAAACUCCACUGCAUCAGCAGGUCCGUCCCGAAACUCCCCAUCAGCGUCGACGACGCAGCGCGAAGCGAGGAAGAUGUUGCAGGAGCCAAGGCUAGGGGGGAGCAGCUUGUUCAUGUGGGGCAGGACAACCGGUUGGACUACAGGGUGAUCGACCUGCGCACACCCGCCAACCAGGCCAUUUUCACCAUCGAAUCCGAAGUCGAAUACAUCUUCAGACAAGUGCUGCGGUCAGAAGGUUUCAUUGGCAUCCACACGCCCAAGCUGAUAUCCGGGUCGAGCGAAGGCGGCGCAGCGGUGUUCAAGCUGGACUACAAUGGGCAACCGGCUUGCCUGGCGCAGUCGCCGCAGCUUCACAAGCAGAUGGCGGUGUGCGGCGGGUUCCAGCGUGUGUUCGAGGUUGGCCCCGUGUUCAGAGCAGAGGACUCCAACACUCACCGGCAUCUCUGCGAGUUCACAGGCCUUGAUGUUGAAAUGGCAAUCAAAGAUCACUACUUUGAGGUCUGUGAUGUUGUCGAUAGGCUAUUUGUUGCUAUCUUUGAUCAUCUGAACAAGAACUGCGUCAAGGAGCUUGAGGCCAUCCAGAGACAGUACCCUUUCAAACCACUAAAAUACUUGCAGACAACAUUACGCAUUGACUACGAUGAAGGCAUCCGAAUGCUGAAGGAAGCAGGUGUCCACGUGGAGCCCAUGGGGGACCUCAGCACACAGGCUGAGAAGAAGCUGGGAGAGCUUGUUCGAGACAAGUAUGGCACUGAGUUUUACAUGCUCUGCCGAUACCCGUCAGCAGUGAGGCCGUUCUACACCAUGCCCUGCUCUGAUGAUCCACUCUUCAGUUACUCCUUCGACGCCUUUGUUCGAGGUGAGGAGAUCAUCUCUGGGGCGCAGAGGGUGCACGUCCCUGAGCAGCUGACGAGGCAGGCAGAGGCAAGGGGAAUCGACGUCAACACCAUCGCCACCUACCUCGACUCGUUCCGGUACGGCGCGGCUGCGCACGGGGGGUUCGGCGCGGGGCUGGAGAGGGUGGUGAUGCUCUUCUGCGACCUCGGCAACAUCAGGAAGACGUCGCUCUUCCCUCGCGACCCCAGGAGGCUGAAGCCGUGACGAGAACGCCGCUCGCUCGUGAAUUGUGAUGGGAUCUCACGCAUCUCAAAAUGGUAGAGCUUUUUGAAUGAUGUCAGGGCCAGAAUUGCUGCUGAUGUAACAUUCAACAUACCUGCCAAAUGAGUUUUACAUUUUUCAGUUUGCUUUAUACAUGAUAAAUCAGCACCAAGAACUUACAAUGAAAGGGUUAUUGCAUCUUACGGGUAAUCAAUCAUAAUGUUCCCAAAGGUCUCAGCAGGAUUAAUAAGCUGAAUGAUUUAAAAUAUGAUGUCAAUAUAGACCAAACAUAUUCAAGGGUCACAUGGAAGAAUGCUCGUAAAUAAAUGAGAAAGAUUUCGAAGAAUAAUGUUUAAUUAUACUUCUGAAACAAAGCAGGCAUAUCUGUAUUCUAUCAACAGGAAAAUAAAGAAAUUUUCAUUACAAAGAAUAAUAAAGAAAUUCACAAGUGUCAUGAUUAACUUGGCAGUUGGCAUUCUACGAUUCCAAUUUACUUCAGAAAGUAGAAAAUUUAAAGGUAACCUCCCAGUCAUGCUAUGAUUAGACAUGCGCAAACAAGGAAAGGAGGGUCCUGAAAGAAGUUCACUGCUCACCUCCAGCCAGGUAUAAGACCUUGUGAGUUCAAAUGUUGCAAAACCACCAUUAUCAUUCUGUGAAGGUUAACAAAAACUUAUGAGACAUGGUACCUCCCACAGAAACAUGCGUGCGAUAUAAUAAAAACACAGAUAAAAUAAAAAUGAUAGAAUCAAAUAGGAACUGCUGACAGCAAAAACUUGACUUGAAAGUUCAACAUCUACUUUUAAGGACGGGUCUAUGCCCAUAA